AGAGUUUGAUCAUGGCUCAGGACGAACGCUGGCGGCGUGCUUAACACAUGCAAGUCGCGCGAUUCUCGAAGUUCGGGGUUGGGAGUUCGAACCUCGAACUUCGAACCUCGAACUUCGAGAAUAGCGGCGGACGGGUGAGUAACACGUGGAUAACCUACCCAUUAGACCAGGAUAACACCGGGAAACUGGUGCUAAUACCGGAUAAGCUCUUUAGAGUAAAAGCCUUAAAGAGGAAAGGGGAAACUCACUAAUGGAUGGGUCCGCGUCCUAUUAGCUAGUUGGUAGGGUAACGGCCUACCAAGGCGACGAUGGGUAGCCGGCCUGAGAGGGUGACCGGCCACACUGGGACUGAGACACGGCCCAGACUCCUACGGGAGGCAGCAGUGGGGAAUAUUCCGCAAUGGGGGAAACCCUGACGGAGCAAUGCCGCGUGAGUGAAGAAGGCCUUUGGGUCGUAAAACUCUGUCUUGAGGGACGAAAAAAAUGACGGUACCUCAAAAGAAAGCCCCGGCUAACUACGUGCCAGCAGCCGCGGUAAAACGUAGGGGGCGAGCGUUGUCCGGAAUUACUGGGCGUAAAGGGCGUGUAGGCGGCCUGUGUAGUCAAGUGGUGAAAACCCGGGGCUUAACUUCGGGAUGGCCCUUGAAACCGACAGGCUUGAGGACAGGAGAGGGGAGUGGAAUUUCCGGUGUAGCGGUGAAAUGCGUAGAUACCGGAAGGAACACCAGUGGCGAAGGCGGCUCCCUGGACUGGUCCUGACGCUGAGGCGCGAAAGCGUGGGGAGCAACAGGAUAGAUACCCUGGUA
rnacentral:rRNA from 1 species